GUGAACGAUGAAAUAUUUAGGUAUGUAAAGUUCUUUUAUUAAAGAAGAAAAAAUGAUGGAAAAAUCAUUCUGACGGUAUUUAAUGAAUAAGCCCCGGCUAACUAUGUGCCAGCAGCUGCGGUAAUACAUGGGGGGCAAGCGUUAUCCGGAUUUAUUGGGCGUAAAGGGUGUGUAGGCGGUUUAAUAAGUCUAUGGUAUAAGUUCAACGCUUAACGUUGUGAUGCUAUGGAAACUGUUUGACUAGAGUUGGAUAGAGGCAAGUGGAAUUCCAUGUGUAGCGGUAAAAUGCGUAAAUAUAUGGAGGAACACCAGUAGCGAAGGCGGCUUGCUGGGUCUUAACUGACGCUGAGGCACGAAAGCGUGGGGAGCAAACAGGAUUAGAUACCCUGGUAGCCCACGCCGUAAACGAUGAGUACUAAGUGUUGGGUUAAACCAGUGCUGAAGUUAACACAUUAAGUACUCCGCCUGAGUAGUACGUACGCAAGUAUGAAACUUAAAGGAAUUGACGGGACUCCGCACAAGCGGUGGAUCAUGUUGUUUAAUUCGAAGAUACACGAAAAACCUUACCAGGUCUUGACAUACUCUGCAAAGCUAUAGAAAUAUAGUGGAGGUUAUCAGGGAUACAGGUGGUGCAUGGUUGUCGUCAGCUCGUGUCGUGAGAUGUUGGGUUAAGUCCCGCAACGAGCGCAACCCUUAUCGCUAGUUACCAUCAUUUAGUUGGGCACUUUAGUGAGACUGCCAAUGAUAAAUUGGAGGAAGGUGGGGAUUACGUCAAAUCAUCAUGCCCCUUAUGACCUGGGCUACAAACGUGAUACAAUGGCUGUUACAA
rnacentral:rRNA from 1 species